UACGGAGGGUGCAAGCGUUAAUCGGAAUUACUGGGCGUAAAGCGCACGCAGGUGGCUGAGUCAGUCGAUUGUGAAAGCCCUGGGCUUAACCUGGGAAUUGCAGUCGAUACUACUCAGCUAGAGUAUGGGAGAGGGCAGUGGAAUUCCCGGUGUAGCGGUGAAAUGCGCAGAUAUCAGGAGGAACACCGGUGGCGAAGGCGGUGGUCUGGGCCGGCACUGACGCUGAGGAGCGAAAGCGUGGGUAGCAAACAGG
rnacentral:rRNA from 1 species